rnacentral:tRNA from 1 species
GAAGAUAUGGCUAAGUGGUAAAGUGUUUGCCUAGCAUACAGGAGGCCUGAGGUUCAAUCCCCAGUACCAUGG